GCAAAACUAGGAGUGUUAGUGGUCUGAAUUGCAGUGCUGUGACCAAGGGAAAAUGGAGACAAUAUUAGAGCAGCAACGGCGCUAUCAUGAGGAGAAGGAACGGCUUAUGGAUGUUAUGGCCAAAGAGAUGCUUACUAAGAAGUCCACGCUUCGGGACCAGAUCAAUUCCGAUCACCGCACUCGGGCCAUGCAAGAUAGGUACAUGGAGGUCAGUGGGAACCUGAGGGAUUUAUAUGAUGACAAAGACGGACUACGAAAGGAGGAGCUCAAUGCUAUUUCAGGACCCAACGAGUUUGCUGAAUUCUAUAACAGACUCAAGCAGAUAAAGGAAUUUCAUCGGAAGCACCCAAAUGAGAUCUGUGUGCCAAUGUCAGUGGAAUUUGAGGAGCUACUGAAGGCUCGAAAGAAUGCAAGUGAAGAGGCACAAAACUUGGUGGAAUUCACAGAUGAAGAGGGAUAUGGUCGCUACCUUGAUCUCCAUGACUGCUACCUCAAGUACAUUAACCUGAAGGCAUCUGAGAAGCUGGAUUACAUCACAUACCUGUCCAUCUUCGACCAGUUAUUUGACAUUCCUAAAGAAAGAAAGAAUGCAGAGUAUAAAAGAUACCUGGAGAUGCUGCUGGAGUACCUACAGGAUUACACAGAUAGAGUGAAGCCCCUUCAGGAUCAGAACGAGCUUUUUGGGAAGAUUCAGACCGACUUUGAGAAGAAAUGGGAUAAUGGCACCUUUCCUGGAUGGCCGAAAGAGACAAGCAGCGCCUUGACUCAUGCAGGAGCCCAUCUUGACCUCUCUGUAUUCUCCUCCUGGGAGGAGUUGGCAUCCCUGGGUCUGGACAGGUUGAAAUCUGCACUGUUGGCUUUAGGCCUGAAGUGUGGUGGAACCCUAGAAGAACGAGCUCAGAGGCUCUUCAGCACCAAAGGAAAGUCCUUGGAGUCACUCGACACCUCUCUGUUUGCCAAAAAUCCCAAGUCAAAGGGCACAAAAAGAGACACUGAGAGGAACAAAGACAUUGCCUUCCUGGAAGCCCAGAUCUAUGAAUACGUGGAGAUUCUUGGGGAACAGUGACAGCUCACUCAUGAAAAUGUACAGCGCAAGCAAGCCAGGACAGGCGAGGAGCGGGAGGAGGAGGAGGAGGAGGAGCAGAUCAGUGAGAGCGAAAGUGAGGAUGAGAUCAUUUACAACCCCAAAAACCUGCCUCUGGUUUUGCUGGGAUGGCAAACCCAUCCCCUACUGGCUGUAUAAGCUUCACGGCCUGAACAUCAACUACAACUGUGAGAUUUGUGGAAACUACACCUACCGAAGGCCCAAGGCCUUCCAGCGGCACUUUGCGGAAUGGCGUCAUACUCAUGGUAUGAGGUGUUUGGGCAUCCCAAACACUGCCCACUUUGCAAAUGUGACACAGAUUGAAGAUGCUGUCUCCUUGUGGGCCAAGCUGAAACUGUAGAAGGCUUCAGAGCAAUGGCAGCCUGACACCGAGGAAGAAUAUGGAAGACUCCAGUGGAAAUGUUGUGAACAAGAAAACAUACGAGGAUCUGAAAAGACAAGGGCUGCUCUAGUAGUUGGCCGUGCCCAGGCUUCCCUGAGAAACCUGAGAAAAUUUUUCCCAACCAAAUGUUCUUAAAAGACUUUUUUGCUAUGUAGUAUCUACCUUAUAGAAACAAGACAUGCUGUCAGGUUGAGAGUUGAGAUGUGUUUUAUCUUUGUUUUAUAUUAAAAAGAUCUGUGGGAAAA